rnacentral:rRNA from 1 species
GGAGUCUGGACCGUGUCUCAGUUCCAGUGUGGGGGACCUUCCUCUCAGAACCCCUAGACAUCGUCGCCUCGGUGGGCCGUUACCCCGCCGACUAGCUAAUGUCACGCGAGCCCAUCCCUGUCCGAUUAAUCUUUCAAUACAGAACCAUGCGGUCCCGCAUCGUACGGGGUAUUACACGACGUUUCCAUCGACUAUCCCCCUGACAGGGGCAGGUUGCUCACGCGUUACGCACCCUUCCGCCGGUCGCCGCCAUCGUAUUGCUACCCCGCGCUGCCCCUCGACUUGCAUGUGUUAAGCCUGCCGCUAGCGUUCAUC